CCUAGGGUGGGCAGCAGUGGGGAAUAUUGGACAAUGGGCGAAAGCCUGAUCCAGCCAUGCCGCGUGUGUGAAGAAGGCCUUCGGGUUGUAAAGCACUUUCAGUGGGGAAGAAAGCCUUGGGGCUAAUACCCUCGAGGAAGGACAUCACCCACAGAAGAAGCACCGGCUAACUCCGUGCCAGCAGCCGCGGUAAUACGGAGGGUGCGAGCGUUAAUCGGAAUUACUGGGCGUAAAGCGCGCGUAGGCGGUCUGAUAAGCCGGUUGUGAAAGCCCCGGGCUCAACCUGGGAACGGCAUCCGGAACUGUCAGGCUAGAGUGCAGGAGAGGAAGGUAGAAUUCCCGGUGUAGCGGUGAAAUGCGUAGAGAUCGGGAGGAAUACCAGUGGCGAAGGCGGCCUUCUGGACUGACACUGACGCUGAGGUGCGAAAGCGUGGGUAGCAAACAGGAUUAGAUACCCCAGUAGUC
rnacentral:rRNA from 1 species